rnacentral:rRNA from 1 species
UACGAAGGGGGCUAGCGUUGCUCGGAAUCACUGGGCGUAAAGGGUGCGUAGGCGGGUCUUUAAGUCAGGGGGGAAAUCCUGGAGCUCAACUCCAGAACUGCCUUUGAUACUGAAGAUCUUGAGUUCGGGAGAGGUGAGUGGAACUGCGAGUGUAGAGGUGAAAUUCGUAGAUAUUCGCAAGAACACCAGUGGCGAAGGCGGCUCACUGGCCCGAUACUGACGCUGAGGCACGAAAGCUAGGGGAGCAAACGGG